GAGAGAAGAGAACGCAGAGGGUGGGAGGCAGGGAGGGAGACCAAACCCCCGCUUCACUGCGUUGAACGCUUCUGAAUUUCAAGCAGAAAGUAGAAGGAGCCCCACUCGGCAAUGAGCGUCUUUCCUUGGGCUGCGUGUGCAGAGCGUAGACAAUGAAAAUCUCCAUCCCCCUCCCCCAUCCCCGCUAGGCUACAAGAUUUUUAUUGUCGUUCCUUCUCAGCGGUGGAAGAUGUGCAAUAUCAAACCUAUAGAGAUGUGUACAUUUUUUUUUUUAACAAACAAAUCAAACGGGCUGAGACGCGGAUUACCCAAACGCGCACCGGCUGGGCGCGUGCUGGGGAAUCUGCGCUGGACUGGCUCUCCGCGCUCUCUCCAGCCGCAGCUGGGAUCUACGCCGCCCAGGGACCGUGGUGGCUGAGGAGCCUUCCUUCCUCGGACGCCGGAGCCAGAGCGGGCCUUUCCCUUGGGCCGACCGAGCCGUAGGGGACGCCGCGAAAAGAGCCGCUGCGCCGCCAGCUCCUGCCCGCUGCUCAGAGGGCUCCGCCCGUAGAGGUCAACUCCCCUCACCCCUUCCUCUCUCCUGCUCGCCCUCCCUCCGCCCGGCCCAGGUUCCUCCAGCCUCCUGACUCUUGCCGCAGUCUGAGGAGAGCGCGUCGGCUGCGCUGUUCUGAGCCAUAACCCCCAGCCGGGCCCAGAUCGGAGGUCUGCGCUCCGCGGCAGUGGGGAAGCCUUAGCGGGCUGGCUUUUCUCUCUGCACCAAAGCUGUAGCCAGACCAGAUGGGCCGCCCAGCUCUCUCGGGACUAGGCAGGUGCGGUUGAGUUAAUUUUUCCGCAUUACAAAGAAAGACGACCCAGCCCGCCCUUGGACUCUCAUCUCUUCCCCAAAUCUCCCAACCGAAACCGCGGUAACGUUAUCACAGGACACAGAGACUAGGCAUAUCUGCGUGUUUAUCUUACACACACGCGCGCAUGGUUAUUUUUUCCGUCUAUGUGCUAGAUCUCAUUCCCGACAGCAAGAAAUGAUUGACAAAGCUUUCUGCAGCAGAACGUGCAAUGGCGCGGUCCUUAAAAUCUGCCAUUCCUUACAAGUGACUUAGAAGAGAUGCAGGGCGGACCAACUCGGUUAAUUGCCUUCAGGAAAAUAACACGAUUACGAAAUUAGAUCUGUACCAGAGGGGUAAUUAACUUUGAUCCACGCCGUCAUUUGAAAACUAGAUUUAUAGGCGAAUGUAUGUUUUUAGGUGUGCUGUAAAUGGCAUGCAGAUAUAUGCAUAUGUAUACGCAGACACAUGCAUCGUCUACACUUCCACCGAACAGACUAAUUAGCAGCGGCUCUGGCAGCUGUGGCAGGAGGCGAGCUGAGACAGGAGCUGGGCUUAUGAGUUAUGACUCUGGGGGAGUCCUAGGGACUCAGAGCCCAGGGGAGGGGGAAGGGCAGGAGGAGAAGAGGUGCAUUCGCAGUGGGUCAGUUACUUGCCGGAUCAAGAUCAGACUCUGCCCUCCGUGUUCACAGCGGACCUUGAUUUAAUGUCAUACAAUUAAGGCACGCGGUGAAUGCCAAGAGCGGAGCCUAUGGCUGCACUUGAAGGACACCAGAGCGUCUCAGGACGAGAAAAAGGAAAAGGCAAUCACAAGGGGUUUUGAGAGGUAGUAGAACAAACUCAUCGUUUGCCGCAUAAAGACCCUCAAACUGAUUCCAGAACCAUCCUAGCAUUCCCAAA